GCAAUAUUUUCUAACUGGAACGCUAUACACGGAGGUGCCGUGGUGGAAUCAGAUGACCGUUACGGAGGAGCGGUUUGGCAGCGCUUCGAUUUAUUUCUUCGGAACUUCCCCGAAACGGUGAACGUCAGGCGUGCGCACUCUCGGACCGUCGUCGGGGACACCGCGGGGACACCACAGACUGACGCGCGCGAUAUCUACCCCCGCGGACGCAUCGUCACAAGCCUCCAACAUCGAGGCGCGAAGCCGACGGGUUCAGCGCGUCGACCCAAAGAGGGGUUCGCGCGCCCGUCGCCCCGCCCCCCUCGAGACCGGGGUGCCGAAACCGGGGGAAUCUAAUAAGCGCGCCGAG
rnacentral:lncRNA from 1 species